GGCGGGUUGCCCGAGCGGCCAAUGGGAGCGGACUGUAAAUCCGUCGCGAAAGCUUCGCAGGUUCGAAUCCUGCACCCGCCACCA
rnacentral:tRNA from 2 species